GAGUGUAAGCUGCUAUAUGAAGGGAUCCACAAGACGAAUAAUUAAGGGGGACCUCUGAUCAACAGCCAGCAAGGAACUGAAUCCCUCAGACCCACAACUCACAAGAAACUGAAGCUGAAGCAGAUUCUUCCUCAGUCAAGCUUCAGGUGCCCAGCUGUAUUGGUAGAGGAGACCAACCACACCCUCCACAGCACAGCACCUGGAGAGGAACUGCUGCCAUGACCAUAGAGGACACCCUCUGGAUACAAUGCCAGACUUGAUGUGGGACUGACCAACCUAUGGACCCCAGGCACCACCACCCAGACCUGCUCAGCACCUGAAACAUUCACAGCCGUGGAGAGAGAACUGUUCACUGCUACCAUCCACACUUCUGGGCCCCUUCAGCAGCAGGGUGACAAGGAAGAGGGAAAUCGACUUGGAAAAGAGGGGACCUCUGACCCAAGAGUUCGGUCAAUGCAUAUGUUGGCAGCCAGCUGCACAUCGCACCAAAUAUGAACUUCAAAUAGAAGAAAGCCUCAUUUGGAAGAAAGCUCAUGCACAGACUGUAAAUAUUUCAGAGCAGAUUGUGUCUCUGUAGAUUAAGGGAGUGGAGCAGGAGCCUGAGGUCAUAUGAGUUUGUAGCUCCUGUGUGGGACCACCACUUCACAAGCCAGGGAAAGGCAAUCAGCACCCCAGUGUUCUUAGCACGUCAUGCCCCGGUACAGCCUCCAUUCCACAAGUGGUGGGGCUGGGCAGAAGAAAAGAGCUCUUACUACUCAUUUCCACUGAUCUGGAACAUAGCUGCAGUAACAGAUAGCUGGGGCAAGAUGAGAAACACUGAAGUCCUGCUCCUCCUGGGAAUAAAGGCCUCUCUGACUAGAAGCUGGUGGGGCAAGGAAGCCCUGUGGUCUUGGCUGCAGCAGUCUGGAGUGGAGUCUCUGCUUUAUAGGGGGAAGAGUGGAGUAAGUAGUCUUGGUUCACAUACCACAGACUUUCAAAUUUCUUACUGAAUUUUCUUGAAUAGAUGCUUCUUCACUGU
ensembl:lncRNA MIR3976HG MIR3976 host gene